rnacentral:lncRNA from 1 species
AAUAAUGUGAAUCUUGGUAUAUAAAGUUGAUUUUGAUGGUUUAAGCGAUUGAAGACUAGGAGAUCAUCACCACUCAAGAUUUCAUCUUUUGGAGUGGAGUCCCAACUACCUUAGUUCUGCUAAGGUCCUUUUCUUUCAUGAUUCAGUCCAAUGGACUUGUACUUCUUAUGCCAGAAGAUGUAUUCCCACGUUUGACUAUGUUUAUAAAUUCCUGCACCAAAUUUGCACCCUCACUCGUAUCCUUAAUUAGUUGCCACGUUUACAUUUCUACAUUUACUUCCUUGCAAUGUGUAAAUGUUUACUUUCGUAGAGUAGUUGCUAGCACUUGGACUAGGUUAAGCCUAUUGUUAUAUUUUAAAAAUAGUCACACUAGAAAAAUCUAGAGUGGAUCUCGAUAACAUAUGAGAUGGAUUUUCCUUGUGCAAGUUUUGUUGAAUCCAAGUAGUUUUUAACUUUCCUAAUUCUCU